GAGUUAUUUCCCUUGGGCGCGUUUUUAUUUAUUCAAUUAGUAUUGACAAAUCAUGAACGACAUUGAAAUAAUUGAGUUCUGCCCGCCACAUUCUAAUCGGAAAAACUUGUUUGUAUCUAAUAUACCGCUGUCAUUACCACCAGCUGAUAUCUACGAUAUUCUUUAUGAGAAAUUCUCUGCAUUUGGUCUUCUCUAUGAAAUUCAGCUAUUCUCCAAUACAAAUCAGCAACCAGUACAGUAUGAACACGUGUCACAUGCUGGGAAGAAUGACUCUGUUUCUAAUAAUAAUAAUGCCUAUGCCUUUGUGAAGUAUUAUUCUAUCAAAGCAAGUCAAAGUGCUCGGAGAAAUCUAAACUGUAACUUAUAUAUUGGUGGACAACAAUGCAAGAUUGUAACUGCCAAGAGAAAAAAUAUAUUUACCUUAGAGCACCUUUCUUUGAAUAGAUGCUAUGAUAUGGCAAAUUUCUACUUUGGUUUUAAUGGCUGGACAACAAAUAUUAAACUGUUAAAACAGGAUACAUAUGAAAUGGAUACCAAUUCAACAAUAUGUAAGGUUUGUUUCUAUUCCCUUUCCACUGUAUCAUUACCAUUCCAUAGAAUCACAUCAGAGGGAUUUGGAGCAUGGGAAGAAACUUGGAACCAAAAUGAUCCUUUACAAAAACUCACAGUAUAUCACAAAGCACGGAAAAUCUGUUAUCAACGAUCUCUUGUAAAUGCUUUCUCGAAAAUUCUUGUGUUAGUGCUGCCAAAUGGAAAGAUUUGUGCUGAAUUAAACACUUCUAAACCUGAUAUCUACUGUGCAGAGACAUUUGAAACAAAUUUACUUCAGCCACUAAUCUAGGGUGAGUGGUACAUUCAUCACUAUGGGAAAAGUCAAUAUUCACAACCCAGUAGCUGUUCCAUUUCCUGAUGAGAGAUUAAUGAGCUUGACCAAGAACCU
rnacentral:misc_RNA from 1 species